UACGAAGGGGGCUAGCGUUGCUCGGAAUGACUGGGCGUAAAGGGCGCGUAGGCGGCUCAUACAGUCAGAUGUGAAAUUCCUGGGCUUAACCUGGGGGCUGCAUUUGAUACGUGUGGGCUUGAGUGGGGAAGAGGGUCGUGGAAUUCCCAGUGUAGAGGUGAAAUUCGUAGAUAUUGGGAAGAACACCGGUGGCGAAGGCGGGUCUCUGGGCAGUAACUGACGCUGAGGAGCGAAAGCGUGGGGAGCGAACAGG
rnacentral:rRNA from 1 species